rnacentral:lncRNA from 1 species
CCACGACAGAACUCUAUAUAAAUAUAAACAUGUAUAAUGUAACAUUUACUAAAGGGACGUACAGAUUAGCUGUUAACUUAUGUCAAAUGGAAGUCGAGUAAAACUGUUUUUAAUAUUUAUUAUUAUUUAUCAGAAGGUCAAAUGCAUUGAGAAGAUUACGAUAUAAGGUAAAGGCAACAAUGGCCGGUGUUGAAUCUCUGCCGUAAGAAAAGAGAAAAACGACUUACCUAAUAACAAGCCACGUUACGAUAAUUUUUUGUUCGGUAGUCA